UACGAGUGCUUCGAGCGUUAUCCGGAAUCAUUGGGCGUAAAGGGUGUGUAGGCGGUUAUGUUAGUCUUUCGUUAAAUCUUUCGGCUCAACCGAGAGUCUGCGUAGGAAACGGCAUGACUAAGAGGAUGGAAGGGGUCUGCGGAACUCAUGGUGUAGCGGUGAAAUGCGUUGAUAUCAUGGGGAACACCGAAAGCGAAGGCAGCAGACUGGUCCACUCCUGACGCUGAAACACGAAAGCGUGGGUCGCGAAUGGG
rnacentral:rRNA from 1 species